GACUUACCAGUAGUUGUAUUUUAUUCAUGUACAGGCACAUAAUACUCCAUUCAACAAUCAUCUAUAGAAGACUAAACAUCUAUGUUUAUUAAGUGUUUGCAUUAAUAAGAUUAUCCACUAAAUAACCUUGCUACCUAUAAAAUAUUUGUAUGUGAAAUAAAUGGAGAACACAGUGAUAUAGAGUCAUCUAUUUAAAACACAUAGAUCUGAUGCUAGCUAAGUGUAUACAUAGGAUACUUGGAGAAGUUGUCUUUAUUCAGCCAUAUUCUAUUUGGAAACAGGCAAUAUUUUGCAAGUCAGUUCUGAAGCAUACUGGUUUUUGAGAGUCAAUGUGGCAUGUAUGUCUUUAUUGUAUAAUGUCCAUCAUGUGCUAACAUAUUUGUGUUAUAAUCCUAAAGCUUAGGUUAGCAUUAGUUAAAAUAAAUUUUAAAGCUACAUUAAUACAUUUUAUUUCUGUUAGAUUGCAUGUUAGACAUUUGCUGAGAGUAUACCAGGGAAAAUUAAAUUAUAAAUCUUUUUUGAUAAUAAGUACGAAAAGUAAAAGCUAGCUAGCUCACCACAUUUGUAAUGACCUGGAUAUCCAGAGACAUGGUAUAAUAAAAUCAGCCCUUGGACAGUUCUCCAUGGUAUCUUCUUAGUGCACCUUUAAUCAUGGAAAAAACUGAAUGGAUAGUGUAAUUGCUGUUGCUGAACAUAACAAGAGUUACUGCAUCUUUCUGAUUCAUGAAACUGGGUCUGUUCAUGUACCCAUCAAUGCCAUAUGCUUUUAAUCUCUUGGCAUGCUACAAAGCAAAAUGCAAUUGUAAUUAUUGCAAAAUAAUUUUUCUAAUUUAUAUUCAUUCCAAAACAUUUAUAAUUUAUCAGCUGUGGUUGGCAUCUUAUCUACCCUCCAUUGCUAUAGCAGUUCCUGGCCACCUCUCUGAAGAUUGGUAACAUGUUUUCCCUUCACAUUUCUGUAGCCGACCAGGUGCAGAAUGUACAACCCUUCAACUGCUAAACAUCCUACUCACAUUCAACUAAAAUGGCAAGUACUCUCUACACAUAUUCUUAAUUUUACACCAUAACUUCUUUGAAAAUAAGAGCCAAAAGAGACCAUUUGAGAAACAACAUGCAAACAGAGUGAUGACAAUCCUUUAUGGCCCUCCUAACAAUUAUAAUGAAAUCUGAAUUAUUUGCCAAUCACCAAAUCAUAGGUAGUUUGCCUCUUUCCACUCCUCACCUUUAACAUUUGUCCUUUCUCUCUCACAGCAUUGAAGUUACAUUGACUCCAGUCAGUUCUGGGAAUAGGCAAGCUCUUUCCAGUCAGAGGGCUUCUGCAUGGGCAAAUUCACCUGCCUUGAAUGCUUUUCUCUUCAUCUUAAACAGAUUCUUCUUUUCCUUUAGGUCUUUUCUUUAAAUGUCAACUCCUUAGCAAGACUAUAAGUCUACCUUGGGAAAAAAUAAAAAAAGGUCUUUCCUUGCAUUACUUUUCUUAACUCCUUGC
rnacentral:lncRNA from 1 species